UAAGACAAAUCUUUUCCAGACCAGCAGUGGUUGAAUUAUUAAAGCUUUAAUCUUUUAAAAUCCCUGAAUAAGCAGAUUUCUAUAGGUGUGAUGGCUGGACCCACUGGCUUUGCUAAGAUUACUAACAUGUUUGAAACCAAAUCCUUUUGUAAGAGUUUCACUGGACUUAAUCUAGGAGCUGGCAGAAGGGAUGGAUGGCAGGAAUUUUGGUUUCCAAUCCUUCCAGGUUAUGGCUGCUCACAACCCCAGAGGAAGUUGUGGGCAGGAGGAAGAGGGACUCCAUGCAGCUGGGAUGCCCCAAAGCCAGUUUUUCUCUCGAAAGAAGAAACUCUGCCAAGUCCACAUGGCAGACAAGGUGUACCCAGGUGAGUCACAUAAAGAUGGUAGCAAAAGGAUGUAUUUCUGGUUUUGGAUCUGUGCCUUCAGCCCUCUGCAGUCUACAGUGAUCUCUGAUCUCUGGGCUUUGGCCAAGUUUUCUGUUGUUUUAUGGGACACCAUACAGCACCCACCCCUCCAUAGUCCAGAUGUAAUUAUGCCCCUCAGAAGUGGCAGGCUCUUCCCUCUGAUUUCUAUUAUAUCACUAAAAAGUGUGCACGCUUUCAUGUAAGCUUUGUGCAAAGUACAGAGACAAGGAUCUGUUGAGUGAGUAACCCAUGAGGGGAUCUUUUCUUUCAGACUCUGACACUCAUGGUAAGAAAACGCAGGACUCUCUUACUAACUCCUCUUUAUGAGGUUAGGGUUUUAGGUGGGAAUUUUUUCUGGUUGAUUUGAAGACACAUUGAUUCUUAUCAUAAGACGUAAGACUCUUUGUUGAGUGUUUACUUCCAAGCAAGACUGAAUCACAACGAUUUGCUGCUUGCAUGAAUAAAGAAGUGUUUUCAUGAGUGGAAUUACAUUGCCUAAGUUUUAGAUCAAAUGCCUAUGGACCUGGGAGUUUAAUUCCUAGGCAUGUUGGCCUGAUGCUAUGUGUAAGGCUAGUGAAAUUGGAGGAGAAAGGCUUGGAAAAGGAUCAGAAAGGCACAGAGAGAAAGCACACACAUGACAGAGGGAGAAGGAAGUAGAUGAAAAAUAGAUUUUGUAAAACAAAUCCUGCAGUGUUCAAAUGCUCUAGACCAAAAAAAAUGGAUGUACAGUAACUGGUCAGCCUCAUGGUCUUGUUAGUCAAGGGGCUCUGAGAGAGGGCAAGCAUCUGUCUUUGAGAAGAAGCUCCAGACAGAUCCACAUCAGCUUUCCAGUUUAGCUUGUUAGACUCCUGGCACUUCUGCUGUACUCUGGUGCAUUACUCAGCUUUUGUGCUGCCAGACUGAAAUGUCAAUGCAAGUAACUGUCAGCCUCCCAGAAGGUGAAAUGGAGAGCACCAUUCCCCUCUCCCUAGGAUUUGGGAGAAAAUGGCCCCUGUGUCUGGAAAGAAACCUCAUACUGACUUCACCGAAGAAAUCUGGAUGUCUUCUUCCUGCUUAAAAGGAGCAAAUAAGGAUGAAUGCAGAUGAAGUGGCCAGCAAAACUUCAAGCCAAGUCAGUUACAACAUAUCUGCAACCACAAGCCAAUUAGACCUGCCCUGGGGGUUUAAUACAGUGUGCGAGACAAUGUCAUUAUCUAAAAGUCUGAAGUGCUUUCUAGCCCAUGCAAAAAAAUAAAAUAAAUAAAAUAAAUAAAAUAAAAUAGAAAUUAACUGAAAACAAGGUAAAUAAUAAACAUGUUAUGCAAUAUAUUUUUGAGUAUGUAAUAUUCAUUUCUCCAGGGUACCUCAAAUCCAGGAUGAGACAAGACUGUAUUCAAACUCAGCUGACAGUAAAGCGUUUCUCAGAGGAACGGGAAUGCUUGGCAGAGCUUCUGGUUGUGAGCAGCUGUGCCCUGCCCCACUGAAACAGAUGCUGGUCCUGAAGUCUGAACCAGCUGCCCCUACAAGUCAGAGCAGCCAUAGGCUUGCUAUGCCAGCUUACUUAUCAGCUGGGGAAGUCCCAUAUGACCCAUAGAAAGGCAAGGCCUAGCAUUGUCUGGGUGUGCUUUGCUUUGUUUUUGUUUUCUUAUUCCUGAUGUGCUCUUCCAUGAGGAGGAUGGGUUGAGAAAAUUUGACUUUAAUCUGGCAUUACAGUUGGAUGUGGAAGGUGCUUCAACUCUACUCUGGUGGUACAAACGAAUUUCAGUGGACGCAAGUGAUUUGUCUGGCAAAAGUAAUUUUUAGCAAAUUCUUUGGUUUUCCAAAAACAAUAUCAAAACCCAGGCUGAAGUAAUAAUCAUAUUUUUUUUCUUCUGUUGUCUGUAUAUGUAAUGAGACUAUGCAGCUAAGAAAUGUAGCCUGUUCUGUACCAUAUGCCCUCAGUUCCUUAUGCCCUGCAGUGUAGUAGGUCAGUACAAUUUUUAGACAAGAUUAAAAUGCCGUUAGCUUUCCUCCUACAACCUACAGUCAGGGAUAAGAAUUUUUUUUCUCUUCCCACACACCUACCAAACCUGUGGGCAUCAUCCAAUCAUCAGAAAAUCAACGCACUUCUACCUUUGACUUCACUAGAAGCCAGAAUUCAUCAACAUGCCUGGAAGUUUCAUAUUUUACACCAAUUCACUAGACUUGAAAUAAACCAAAGCACAGGUGAUAUACGGAAGUUUCACACAUGUCCUGCCCAUGUCAGUCAACCUUCCCUGCUGUAAAAGCACACUGCAAAAAGAAACCAUGAGAUAGCUUAUACUCUGAGAGAGGACAGGACAAAAUACAGAACAAGAAGGGCAGCAGGCAGCAAUGUAGGGUAUUAGGAGAAGACGAGCAGGCCUGGAAAGUCUGGGAUCAGAGGGAUGGUGGGAUUAGAGAGCAGGCUAUGCCACGCACCUUUGUUUGUGUUACCUGCUUAAGAAUACGACCUCUGCCUAUCCAAAUUGCAGGAUUUUACUUUUCACAACAAACCUCGAGUUGUACAAGUGAUUUCUUAUACAGCACACUGAGCAACACCUAAUCAUUUUCCCUCACACAAGGCAGUUAAUGAUUGUUUAAUGUGUCUGGAGCAAUGAUGUCCCACGUUUGGCUUGCAGGUCUCUGAGGCUAUCCAGGAAGUUUAAUUGUGCAGUAUUCAGCAGCUGAGCUUUCCAUUAAAUUAAUGUUGGCAUCCUUUUUGUAUUCCCAUUUCUUUUUAUGUCCAAGAAUUCUUUGGAAAAUAAACAGCAUCUGAUUUUGCAGAUUAAAGCAAAACCUCACAAUCAUUAUUUCACAUCACAUUUUCUCAUGGAUGAAUAGAAAGGGAAACCUCCUUUGGCCUCUGAUAAAGAGAAGACAUAUCCCAGGGUUGACAUCCUAUGUAGAAAGAUAUUUCCCUAUGGAAUUGCAUGUUUCUGUACCAAAAAAAAAACAAUAGUGAGCAACACUUCUUGCUGGGUGGCAGAAGGGGCCCAGCAGCAUUCAGUUGUACACUGGGAGGAGAAAAAAGGCAGAGAAACCAGUGAUGAGGUAAUGAGGGUUUCCAUGCAGACCUCCUCAGACAGAGCACAGAGCUGUUGGCGGUGUCCGUCUCUUCUUGGUGAUCCCUCUCAGUCCCAGGUUACACUGAAGUGAUUUGCGGCACUUUUGCUGUGCCAAAUUGCUUUAACUGCAAUUUGGACAUCAUAUACUCUUGCUGUUAUUUGAAUUUCAUCCUAAACAAAUGAAAUCAGGUAAUUGACCUGAUAAUUGUCACCGGAGCAGCUGUGGGCAGGGGUAGCACUGCUUUGGGAUGCUUUGACUUUUUUGUGUGUACAAGUCCAUUAGUCAGAAACAUUAUUGGCGGUGUUUGUUAUUCUCAUUUUGAAAUUUCACAUUGAGUUUUGAAGAUAACAUAAUGCAGAAAAAUGCUUUUAAUGAUCAAUCUACAAGAGAGAAGGAACUGCUCUUCAGAAGAUCAGAGUGGAUAAUGCAAAUGCUCUCAGCACUCUCAGACAAAUUAGGGAGAGGCCAGAUGAGAGCUGAAAGAACAAUAAGAAAUUUAAAAUUGAAAAAUAUGGUAUGUUAGGAAAGAUUAAAGGAGGUAGGGGAGGGGACUUAGUCAAGGGCAAAGCUUUGUGAAGGAUACGUAAGAUCUGAAUGUUUAGAAGCAGCCAUAGGGUGGCAAUCAAUUUUCUUCAAGUCCAUCUAGGGAAGUGCAAACGUGCUCAUAUCUAAACAAUCUACAGCAAAGAUGAUAUACCCCACUUACAAGCAAAAUCUUUUGUUAUUUUUGUUUCUCUUUUUUAAAAAAGCAGGUCACUGAAGUGGUAGAACAGGUUGUAUAUAAAAAUCAUGAAACUUCUCAAAAUGUUUUCAAGACUCAGCUAAAUAAUCUUUUGCCAGAGAUGUCUUGUUAAAUUUAACCUUGUCUCAGUACAGGGGUUUGGACUAGAUGAACUUAAGCUGCAUAAAUAUUGACAAAAAGCAAGUGAUUGCCUCUCUGUUUUAAUAACCCAUCCUGUGCAGAAUGACCCAGGAACUACAGGAACCCAAUACAACUGAAAACAGACACUUGUUUGUGAACAACUGGACCAAAAAGAGUGGUUUGAUAGAGUUUUUAAAGGAAAUUAGCAGUAGGCUGCCAGAACUACUCUUUAUGUCUUUAUUUUCAAGAAUAGGUUCUUAGGAGGACUAAAGAGAAGUUGUUUGAGCAGUCAGGGAUCAGGCCAGGAAAGCUAAAAUCCAGAUGGAAUUAAAUCUAGCCAGGGACAUAAAGGGGAACAAGGAGAAAUUCUAAGGUAUAUCAGUGAUAAAAGGAAGGCCAGGGAAGAUGUGGGCCUUUUCCAGAAGGAAACUGGGGACACGGUCACAAGAGAUAGGAAGAAAGCUGAGGUGCUCAAUGACUUUUCUGCCUCAGUCUUCACCGGCAAGGGCUCUAGCCACACUGCCCAAGCUGCAGAAAGCAAAGGUAAGAACUGGGAGAAGAAAGAUCUGCCUGCUGUAAGUGAAGAUCAGAUUCGAGACCAUCUAAAGAACCUGAAGGUGCACAAGUUCAUGGGACCCAGUGAGAUUCAUCCAGGGUUCUGAGGGAACUGGCAGAUGAAGCUGCCAAGCUGCUAUCCAAUCAUAUUUAAAAGGUCGUGGCAGUCUGAUGAAGUUCCCACUGACUAGAAAGGGGGAAACAUAACCUCAAUUCUCAAGAAAGCAAAAAGAGAAGAUCCAGGAAACUACAGAUCAGUCAGUCUCACCUCUGUGCCUGGCAAGAUCAUGGAGCAUGGAUCCUCCUGAAGGCCCUACUAAAACACAUGAAAAAUAAGGAUGAAAUGAUAGAUGGUAAUCAACAUGGCUUCACCAAGAGCAAUUUGUGAUUGACAAAGUUCGUGAUCUUUUAUGAUGGAGUUACAAUGUCAGUGGAUAAAAGAAGAGCAAGUGAUGUCAUCUACCUGGACUUGUGCAAAGCAUUUGACACUGUCCCACACGACAUGCUAGUAGCUAAAUUGGAGAAAAAUUGAUCUGAUGGAUGGGCCACUUCCUGGAUAAGGAAUUGGCUGGAUGGUUGCAUUCAGAGAGCUGUGGUAAACAGCUCAGUGUCCAAAUGGAGACCUGUGAUGAGUGAUGUUCCUCAGGGAUUGGUGCUGGGACCAGAUUUAACAUCUUUGUAGGUGACAUGGACAGUGGAAUCAAGUGCACUCUCAGUAAGUUUACAGAUGA